UACGUAGGGUGCAAGCGUUGUCCGGAAUUAUUGGGCGUAAAGAGCUCGUAGGCGGUUUGUCGCGUCUGCUGUGAAAAUCCAGGGCUUAACCCUGGACCUGCAGUGGGUACGGGCAGACUGGAGUGCGGUAGGGGAGAUCGGAAUUCCCGGUGUAGCGGUGAAAUGCGCAGAUAUCAGGAGGAACACCGAUGGCGAAGGCAGUGGGCUGGGCCGGCACUGACGCUGAGGAGCGAAAGCGUGGGGAGCAAACAGG
rnacentral:rRNA from 1 species